rnacentral:rRNA from 1 species
GGGGACAACGUUCCGAAAGGGGCGCUAAUACCGCAUACGUCCUACGGGAGAAAGCAGGGGACCUUCGGGCCUUGCGCUAAUAGAUGAGCCUAAGUCGGAUUAGCUAGUUGGUAGGGUAAAGGCCUACCAAGGCGACGAUCUGUAGCGGGUCUGAGAGGAUGAUCCGCCACACUGGGACUGAGACACGGCCCAG